rnacentral:rRNA from 1 species
GGGCUUGACAUCCCACGAACCCCGCCGAAAGGCGGGGGUGCCCGCAAGGGAGCGCGGAGACAGGUGGUGCAUGGCUGUCGUCAGCUCGUGUCGUGAGAUGUUGGGUUAAGUCCCGCAACGAGCGCAACCCUCACCCCUUGUUGCCAACAGAUCAUGCUGGGCACUCUAGAGGAACUGCCCCGGUCAACGGGGAGGAAGGCGGGGAUGACGUCAAGUCAUCAUGCCCCUUACGUCCUGGGCUACACACGUGCUACAAUGGCCGGUACAAAGGGAUGCCACACCGCGAGGUAGAGCUAAACCCAAAAAGCCGGUCUAAGUUCAGAUUGGAGUCUGCAACUCGACUCCAUGAAGGAGGAAUCGCUAGUAAUCGCGUAUCAGCACGACGCGGUGAAUACGUUCCCGGGCCUUGUACACACCGCCCGUCACACCACGAAAGCCCGUUGUACUCGAAGUCGCUGAG